rnacentral:misc_RNA from 1 species
GUGAAUCAUCGAAUUUUUGAACGCAAAUUGCACUCCCAGGUAUUCCGGGGAGUAUGCCUGUUUGAGGGUCGUUAGAACAAAAAUCGAGGCGUCGCUCUUUUUUUUUAAGGGUGAUCGCGUCGGAAUUGAGCCGUCUUUCAAAUGUAAAUUCAUGUAAAAUUGGUUUAAAUUUAAUCAACCCGUUCG